UACAGAGGUCCCAAGCGUUGUUCGGAUUCACUGGGCGUAAAGGGUGCGUAGGCGGUCGGGUAAGUCUGAUGUGAAAUCUCCAAGCUUAACUUGGAAAUGGCAUCGGAUACUAUUCGGCUCGAGGAAUGGAGGGGAGACUGGAAUACUUGGUGUAGCAGUGAAAUGCGUAGAUAUCAAGUGGAACACCAGUGGCGAAGGCGAGUCUCUGGACAUUUCCUGACGCUGAGGCACGAAAGCCAGGGGAGCAAACGGGG
rnacentral:rRNA from 1 species